rnacentral:tRNA from 1 species
GGAUCUCUAGCUCAGUUGGUCAGAGCAAUCGACUCAUAACCGAUCGGUCAAGGGUUCGAACCCCUUGAGAUCCA